CAAGGUACUAAGGGCACGCGGUGGAUGCCUUGGCGGCGGGAGGCGAUGAAGGGCGUGGCAAGCUGCGAUAAGCCCGGGGGAGCCGCAAGCAGGCGUUGAUCCCGGGAUUCCCGAAUGGGGAAACCUGGGUGGCCGUUGAGGCCACUCGCCGCCGAAAGGCGGUGCGAUACCGGGGGAAGUGAAACAUCUCAGUACCCCGAGGAAAAGAAAUCAACCGAGAUUCCCCUAGUAGCGGCGAGCGAACGGGGAGGAGCCCAAACCAGCGUGGUGUCAAAGCCCGUGGGCGUUGCCACGCUGGGGUUGCGGGACACGGCCGGGCGAGGCCACGGACUCGCCGGGGAGUUACAAAUCCCUCCUCUAGCCGAACCACCUGGGAAGGUGGGCCGGAGAGGGUGACAGCCCCGUAGGCGAAAGGGGAGGGACUCCCUGGGCCGUGCUCCCGAGUACCGCGGGACACGUGGAAUCCCGUGGGAAGCUGGGGGGACCACCCUCCAAGGCUAAAUACUACCCGCCGUCCGAUAGUGCACCAGUACCGUGAGGGAAAGGUGAAAAGCACCCCGGAAGGGGAGUGAAAGAGGACCUGAAACCGCGUGCCUACAAGAAGUCGGAGCCCCCAUUUGGGGGUGACGGCGUGCCUUUUGAUUAAUGAGCCCGCGAGUUGCCGUCGGUGGCGAGGUUAAGCCGAUGAAGGCGUAGCCGCAGCGAAAGCGAGUCCGAACAGGGCGUUCAGUCACCGGCGGCAGACCCGAAGCCGGGUGAGCUACCCCUGGGCAGGGUGAAGGUGGGUUAAAACCCACUGGAGGCCCGAACCGGUGGACAGUGAAAAGUCCUCGGAUGACCUGGGGGUAGGAGUGAAAAGCUAACCGAACCCGGUGAUAGCUGGUUCUCCCCGAAAUGCAUUGAGGUGCAGCCUCGGGCGGUCUGUGCAGGGGGUAGAGCACUGAUGGGGCUAGGGGGGUUUCCUCCGAACCCCGUCAAACUCCGAAUUCCUGCACACAAAGCCCGGGAGUGAGCCCGCGGGGGAUAAGCUCCGCGGACGAGAGGGGAACAACCCAGACCGCCGGCUAAGGGCCCGAAGAGGUGGCUAAGUGGUAAAGGAUGUGGAGUGCCUAAGACAGCUGGGAUGUUGGCUUAGAAGCAGCCAUCAUUUAAAGAGUGCGUAACAGCUCACCAGCCGAGGCGCUCUGCACCGAAAAUGUAACGGGGCUCAAGCCACCCCCCGAAGCCGCGGGUCAGUGCCUCCGGGAGGUACUGGCGGUAGGGGAGCUUUCCGCUGUAGGGUGAAGGCGGACCCGCGAGGGCCGCUGGACGAGGCGGAAGUGAGAAUGCGGGCAUGAGUAUACGAAAGGAGGGUGAGAAUCCCUCCCCCCGUAAGCCCAAGGGUACCUGGGGAAGGGUCGUCCGCCCAGGGUUAGCCGGGACCCUAAGGUGAACCCGAAAGGGGUAGCCGAAGGGAAGCCGGUUAAUAUUCCGGCGCCAUCUGCGGUCGAUGGUACGAGGGGUGACGCAGGAGGGUAGGCGCCGGGGGCAAGUGGCAUGCCCCUCCAAGCGGUUAGGGCGAUGACGGGCGUAGGUAAAUCCGCGCCCCGAGCCUGAGCCGUGAUGGGGAGGUCCCUUCGGGGACCAACGGCGCUGACCCCACACUGCCGAGAAAAACCUCGCGUACCGCUUGAGACCGUAGGUGCCCGUUCCGCAAACCGACACAGGUGGGCGGGCUGAGAAGGCUCAGGGGAGCGGGUGAACCCUCGCCAAGGAACUCGGCAAAUUGGCCCCGUAACUUCGGGAGAAGGGGUGCCGCGUUAGGGUGAACCCAGGGGAAGGGGCAACCCGGAAACUGGGGGAGCCCGAGGCGGUCGCAGUGACAAGGCCCUGGCGACUGUUUACCAAAAACACAGGUCUCUGCUAACUCGGAAAGAGGAAGUAUAGGGACUGACGCCUGCCCAGUGCCGGAAGGUUAAGGGGAGGGGUGAGGCUCCUCUUGUGGGAGCGUAGCUCCGACCCGAAGCCCCGGUAAACGGCGGCCGUAACUAUAACGGUCCUAAGGUAGCAUUCGCUGCCUGCCCACAGGGGGAUAAAGGUGAGCGAAAUUCCUUGUCGGGUAAGUUCCGACCUGCAUGAAUGGCGUAACGACUGGGGCACUGUCUCGGCGGGGGGCCCGGUGAAAUUUCAGUCUGGGUGAAGAUGCCCAGUACCCGCGGCUAGACGGAAAGACCCCGUGGAGCUUUACUGCAGCCUGGUAUUGGGCUCCGGUGCAUCGUGUAUAGAAUAGGUGGGAGGCUGUGAAGCCGCCUCGCCAGGGGCGGUGGAGCCGCCAGUGGAAUACCACCCUCGGUGCACUGGAGUUCUAACCUGACCCUGUGAAGAGCAGGGUGGGGACAGUGCCAGGUGGGCAGUUUGACUGGGGCGGUCACCUCCUAAAAGGUAACGGAGGUGUGCAAAGGUCGGCUCAGGUGGGUUGGAAAUCCACCGCAGAGUGCAAGGGCAUAAGCCGGCCUGACUGCGAGGCCGACAGGCCGAGCAGGGGGGAAACCCGGCCCUAGUGACCCGGCGGUCCCGUGUGGAAGGGCCGUCGAUCAACGGAUAAAAGUUACCCCGGGGAUAACAGGCUGGUCCCGCCCGAGAGUUCACAUCGACGGCGGGGUUCGGCACCUCGAUGUCGGCUCAUCCCAUCCUGGGGCUGAAGCAGGUCCCAAGGGUUGGGCUGUUCGCCCAUUAAAGGGGUACGUGAGCUGGGUUCAGACCGUCGUGAGACAGGUCGGUCCCUAUCUGCCGCGGGCGUAGGAGGCUUGAGGGGGGUCCUCCCUUGUACGAGAGGACCGGGAGGAGGGGGCCUCUGGUGUACCGGCUGUCGCGCCAGCGGCAUACGCCGGGUAGCUAUGCCCCUAAGCGAUAACCGCUGAAAGCAUCUAAGCGGGAAGCGCGCCCCAAGAUUAGGCCUCCCAUCCCGUUAAGGGAGUAAGGCCGGUCCGAGAAGAGGACCUUGAUAGGCCAGGGGUGUAAGCGCCGCAAGGCGUUGAGCCCACUGGUACUAAUCGGCCGAGGCCUUGA
rnacentral:rRNA from 1 species